AACGAACGCUGGCGGCAUGCCUAACACAUACAAGUCGAACGAGACCUUCGGGUCUAGUGGCGCACGGGUGCGUAACGCGUGGGAACCUGCCCUUAGGUUCGGAAUAACUCCCCGAAAGAGGUGCUAAUACCGGAUAAUGUCUUCGGACCAAAGAUUUAUCGCCUUUGGAUGGGCCCGCGUUGGAUUAGCUAGUUGGUAGGGUAAAAGCCUACCAAGGCGACGAUCCAUAGCUGGUCUGAGAGGAUGAUCAGCCACACUGGGACUGAGACACGGCCCAGACUCCUACGGGAGGGAGCAGGGGGGAAUAAUGGAAAAUGGGCGAAAGCCUGAUCCAGCAAUGCCGGGUGAGGGAAGAAGGCCUUAGGGGUGUAAAGCUCUUUUACCCGGGAUGAUAAUGACAGUAACGGGAGAAUAAGCUCCGGCUAAAUCCGU
rnacentral:rRNA from 1 species